rnacentral:lncRNA from 1 species
GAAAGUUAGAGAGUCUCAAAAUUAAAAAAAUAAAAAAGACUCGGGAUGUAACUCAGUGGUAAGCAUCCCUGAGUUCAAUUCCCUGUACAAAAAAAAAGACUUGUGGGGAUUGCCUUUGGGGGAUUUUUCAAUGACCAACUCUGGUCUACCUCCCUGUUGGCUGGAAGGUGAUCGGCUUUCCCAGUUUGCCUGAGAAUAAGGGGCUUCCUAGGACAUGGAACUUUUGGUGCCCAAACUAGGCCCACCAGGAUAUAUUAGGGACCCUGAUUAAUGGAGUGCCAUCUUUACUAAUUAUAGUACAACUUAGUUCCUGGUUUGCAGAAUAACCCCUCUCUCACUGGACAUGGUCUUGGUGGGUUCUCUCUCCAGGUCGUGGAUGGAUUCCUGACUCAAGCCAGAACAGCCAGCCUCAGAGUGUUUGCCUUCCUGUUGUUUCUCAGCUUGUUAUUCAGCCUUUCCUUUGACUCUGUGGGGUACCCUUUAUGGCUUCCCAGUAAAUUUCUUUUUGGUUUCUGUUAAUUGGUUCUACUGCUUACAAUCACCUCUCCUCUCUCCUCUGUACAUCAGUGAAAACCUUCCGUAUGUUGACAGUCCAGAUCCUUGCUACACACC